AACAUAACCAAAUGUUGGAAAGGUGACAAAAGAUGAAUGUCAGAGGAAAACUUGGUUAGGACAUUUCUGAAUACCCAUCUCUGUUGAAUACCUGGCACAUAACACUACACCCAAUGACAUGUUUGUUGAAAAGAUUUCUUUCCCUGCUAGUUUAAAUAAUGAUUGGGGGCAUAAUGGUGGGUAUAAAGAUACAAAUUAAAAUUUGUUAAAAUGGCUCUACCAGAUACUUGGGGAGGUGGGUUGUUGUCAAACAUCAAAAGUCACAAUCUCCACUUAAAAGCAUAUGACGCCAGCCAUACUAAAUAUUUAAUACAUCGUCUGUGAGGACUAACAAAUAUACUUUGGGCAGAGACGCCUGGAUGGCUCAGUGGUUGUGCCGUCUACCUUCAGCUCAGGGAGUGAUUCUGGGAUCCUGGAUUGAGUCCCACAUCCAGCUCCCCGCAUGGAGCCUGCUUCUCCCUCUGUCUAUGUCUCUGCCUCUCUCUCUCUCUCAUGAAUAAAUAAAUAAAAUCUUUAAAAAAAAGGAAAAAUAUACUUUGGGCAUAUAUCGAUCGAGGUUAUGAGAGGCAUUAGUUCUUCCAUUUAUUUUACAGAUGGAGAAACUGAGGUCUGGAAAGGGGAAGGACUUGCCCUGUCAUCAGUUAAUUUUUUUUUUUAAUGACUCAAGGUUAUCAUGAUGGCAAAUAAUUCCUCAAUCUAAUGGUCCUUUGCUUUCACCAUAAUAUUAAUGAGCCAUUCUUCUUAAAAAAAUGACUCACCAAGAGCAGAGCAGACUGACCAGCAGCUUUUGGGACUGCACUGAAACCUUCCCACUCCAACCACAGCCAAUUUAUAACCAGUCUGUGCUACAGACCACUCACACUUGGUCCUGACCCAAGAGGAGCCUUGCCCCAAUCAGAAUGGAAUAACUGGGAAAACUCAGGCUAAACAGAGAUGAAACAAGGAAAAGGAGCUUGGAUGAUUUGGAACACAAGCAUCCUGAAUACCAAUCCUUUAUGAAUCCCAAAUUGCCAGGCAUUCCUUUGAUUUUGAAACUCGGUGGGGAGAUUGAAAACAGGAGUCCUUUCCUUCUGGAAAUGCAUUGUCUCUUUAUUCUGCUGUGGUGCAUCAGAGAUGUUGUUGCCUCUCGGUGCCUGGUACUCGGAGCCCCCGUCCUGCUGGUCCAGGGGAAAGUCUGGGAGGCCCAGGAAAUCAACUGCUCUUCAAGAACGGCAGCAUCUGCUAGGGAGGUAGCCCCGCGGUGUCUGUUUCUGAGCCAGAGAAAUAUUAAGUAAACCUAAGGAGGAUGGAUGGCUUUCCAGGGCCCUUUAAAUCUCCGCGUUCCCGGGAACGAACCAGAAGGCAGACGGGGUAGAUCGAUCCUCGGCUUCCCGCGUACCGGGUCUGCAAGGAGCGGGGCAGGGUGCGGAGGGGAAAGGAGACGGGGUUGAGCGGGCGGAGGAAGCUGCUGGAAGACCCGCAGGCCCGCAUUCGGGGAGCGCGCGGGCGGCGGGCGGGCGGGCUUCGGGGCGCAGGGCGGGGGGUCGCGAGGCAGACCCCGCGAGGCCGAGCCGGGCCUGCCCGCCUGCCCGCCCGCCCCGCGCGGGCUCCACGUCCACCUCGCCUCCUGUUUUUUUUGUUUGUUUGUUUUUUGUUUUUUUUUUUUCAUAAAACAAAACCUACAAGGAGGCUCCCGGCUCCCUUUCUUCGGCGGCGCCCGAAAGACCCGGAAAGGCGAAGACGCGCGCGGGGACCG
rnacentral:lncRNA from 1 species